CCUACGGGAGGCAGCAGUGAGGAAUCUUGGUCAAUGGACGCAAGUCUGAACCAGCCAUGCCGCGUGCAGGAAGACGGCUCUAUGAGUUGUAAACUGCUUUUGUACGAGGGUAAACGCAGAUACGCGUAUCUGUCUGAAAGUAUCGUACGAAUAAGGAUCGGCUAACUCCGUGCCAGCAGCCGUGGUAAUACGGAGGAUUCAAGCGUUAUCCGGAUUUAUUGGGUUUAAAGGGUGCGUAGGCGGUCGGAUAAGUUAGAGGUGAAAUCCCGAGGCUCAACUUCGGAAUUGCCUCUGAUACUGUUCGGCGAGAGAGUAGUUGCGGUAGGCGGAAUGUAUGGUGUAGCGGUGAAAUGCUUAGAGAUCAUACAGAACACCGAUUGCGAAGACAGCUUACCAAGCUACUUCUGACGUUGAGGCACGAAAGCGUGGGGAGCAAACAGGAUUAGAUACCCCUGUAGUC
rnacentral:rRNA from 1 species